GGAGGAAUGGUCGAGUGGUUUAUGGCAGCGGUCUUGAAAACCGCAGACGAUUAAAAUCGUUCGAGAGUUCGAAUCUCUCUUCCUCCG
rnacentral:tRNA from 1 species